UUCAACUGUGGUGAUGCUGGGAAGUCUUAUGGAAGACACUUGGGCCCUGUGCUUCUAGGAGUGAGCUUUUGGGUGUGAUUAAGAACAAAGCGGCAUGCAGAAUCACGUGGGAGGAAAACGAGGGCCUGCUUAGCCCUUCUGGGAUAAGGGGACGUGAGAAGCACUGGAAUGAUAAAAGCGAACCUCAUGGGCCUCUCAACAUUAGACCAGAGUUAUGCAAAUGUUGGACGAAAAAUCAUAAAGGAAGUGAAAGUCCUCCAGGACUCACAUUCGGAAGGCGAGAGACAGAGCCCUCAAUAUGGACUUUAAGGCUGCCAAGAGUUCAUCCCCGCCUCCCACAAGGCCGCAUGGGAAAGCCAGGAGAGAGGCAACUGGGUUCUCAUGUGUGUGUUUUAAGGCUUGUGAUUAGUCUUUGCUAGUACCUAAAGUCUAUUUUCCCCAUAGCACUAUUAUUCUUCAACAUGCCAUUUUUAGCAAAAUAUAUUCGACGUUAGGUCAGAAAUGCUGAUACAUUUUUAUUUAAAAAAAAAAACAGUUGAGGAUUCAGACAGGCUGGAGAUUUCGGAAGAGUCGGUGUCUUCAUGUCCAGGUCCUUUCUGCUCCAUUUGCACGCCCUCCUCUGCAUCCUCACAGAGGGACCUGGCUGGCGUCUUAGUGUGUCCCUGCCUAGUGGGUCCCUGCCUGCGUCUGUAGCCUUCCUGCUCCUUCAGUUCUGCUGUGUUUAUCCUCACAGCUCCUAGUCCUCUGCCAGUAAGUUGAACUGCUUUCUUUGAUGGGAUCCUGGACAUAGCAAACCAAACCCCUCAUCUGCCACAUAAGAGAGCGUCUCAGAAGUGCUGCUUAAUGCUGAGGCUGGCCAGUCACCCCAGGGCAAGCCCGGGCCAUGGGGCCAUGGUGACGACGUCCUAGGCAUCUGCUCCCAGCUGAGACAGAGCUGCUGUGGAGGGAUUUUUCUAAGUGUUUUCUUCCUAGCACCAAGACCUCUCUCUCUCUCUCUCUCUCUCUCUCUCUCUCUCUCUCUCUCUCUCUCUCUCUCUCUCUCUCUCUCUCUCUCUCUCUCUCUCUUUUACCCCCCAUCCUGUCCCCUAGUCACUCUUCAACAAAAGAUUCAAACUUACAGGUGGGGAAUGUGCCUCAGUUGGCAGAGGGCUUAGGGAGCAUGCCUGGUGGCCUGGGUUUAAUUCCCAGCAUCAAAUAAACCAGGUGUGGUGGUAGUUAGAAGC